GACGAACGCUGGCGGCGUGCUUAACACAUGCAAGUCGAACGAUUUAGUCGUCGGUCAUCAGACGUCAGACGUCAGGGGAACGAAUGGAACUGAAGAAAGAACUCGCUUUAGCGAAAAUCUAUUCCGAAACCCUUACGACCGAUGUCCGAUGACUGACGACCGAAUAGUGGCGGACGGGUGAGUAACGCGUGGGCAACCUACCCAUAAGAGGGGGAUAACAGCUGGAAACGGCUGCUAAUACCGCAUAAGCUUUUUGAGACACAUGUUUUAGAAAGUAAAGGAGGCUUUAGGCUUCCGCUUAUGGAUGGGCCCGCGUCUGAUUAGCUAGUUGGUAGGGUAGCGGCCUACCAAGGCAACGAUCAGUAGCCGGCCUGAGAGGGUGGACGGCCACACUGGGACUGAGAACGGCCCAGACUCCUACGGGAGGCAGCAGUGGGGAAUAUUGCGCAAUGGGGGAAACCCUGACGCAGCGACGCCGCGUGAGCGAAGAAGGCCUGGUUGUAAGCUCUGUUG
rnacentral:rRNA from 1 species